rnacentral:rRNA from 1 species
ACGACUACAUUAGAUACCCGCGUAGUCCUGGCCGUAAACGAUGUGGACUUGGUGUUGGGGGUCCUUUGAGGGCGCCCAGUGCCGGAGAGAAGUUGUUAAGCCUGCUGCUUGGGGAGUACGUCCGCAAGGAUGAAACUUAAAGGAAUUGGCGGGGAGCACCGCAACGGGAGGAGCGUGCGGUUCAAUUGGAUUCAACGCCGGACAACUCACCAGGAGCGACGGUUACAUGAAGGCCAGGCUGAUGACCUUGCCUGAUUUUCCG